rnacentral:rRNA from 1 species
AAUUCGAUUGCGCGUAUCGAAUACGACGGGCAGACGGGUGAGUAACGCGUAGGAAUCUACCUUUUUCUACGGGAUAACGCNUGGAAACGUGUGCUAAUACCGUAUACGCCCUAUUGGGAAAGAUUUUAUUGGAGAGAGAUGAGCCUGCUGUGGAUUAGCUAGUUGGUAGGGUAAAGGCCUACCAAGGCUACGAUCUAUAGCUGGUCUGAGAGGACGAUCAGCCACACUGGGACUGAGACACGCCAGACUCUACGGAGCAGCAGUGGGGAAUAUUGGACAAUGGGGGCAACCUGAUCCAGCCAUGCCGCGUGAGUGAAGAAGGCCUUAGGGUUGUANAGCUCUUUCGCCGGAGAAGAUAAUGACGGUAUUCGGAGAGAAGCCCCGGCUAACUUCGUGCCAGCAGCCGCGUAAUACGAAGGGGGCGAGCGUUGUUCGGAAUAACUGGGCGUAAAGGGCGCGUAGGCGUGAUUAAGUUAGAGGUGAAUCCAGGCUCAACCUUGGAACUGCCUUAAUACUGGUUAUCUAGAGUUCAGGAGAGGUGAGUGGAAUUCCGAGUGUAGAGGUGAAAUUCGUAGAUAUUCGGAGGAACACCGGUGGCGAAGGCGCUCACUGGCCUGAUACUGAGCUGAGGCCGAAAGCGUGGGGAGCAAACAGGAUUAGAUACCCUGGUAGUCCACGCUGUAAACGAUGAGUGCUAGCUGUUGGGUGGUUUACCAUUCAGUGGCGCNNNAACGCAUUAAGCACUCCGCCUGGGGAGUACGGUCGCAAGAUUAAAACUCAAAGGAAUUGACGGGGGNGCACAAGCGGUGGAGCAUGUGGUUUAAUUCGAUGCAACGCGCAGACCCUUACCAGCUCUUGACAUAUGAGACGAUAUCAGAGAUGAUAUUUUCUUUUCGAGACUUUCAUACAGGUGCUGCAUGGCUGUCGUCAGCUCGUGUCGUGAGAUGUUGGGUUAAGUCCGCAACGAGCGCAACCCCUACCUCUAGUUGCCAUCAAGUUUAGAUUUUAUCUAGAUGUUGGGUACUUUAUAGGGACUGCCGGUGAUAAGCCGGAGGAAGGUGGGGAUGACGUCAAGUCCUCAUCGCGUUAUGGGCUGGGCUACACACGUGCUACAAUGGUGGUUACAAUGGGUUGCGAAGUCGCGAGGC